rnacentral:rRNA from 1 species
AUUGAACGCUGGCGGCAGGCCUAACACAUGCAAGUCGAGCGAGCGGCGGACGGGUGAGUAAUGUAUGGGGAACUGCCUGAUGGCGGGGGAUAACUACUGGAAACGGUAGCUAAUACCGCAUACCAUCGGAUGAACCCAUAUGGGAUUAGCUAGUAGGUGGGGUAACGGCUGACCUAGGCGACGAUCCCUAGCUGGUCUGAGAGGAUGAUCAGCCACACUGGGACUGAGACACGGCCCAGACUCCUACGGGAGGCAGCAGUGGGGAAUAUUGCACAAUGGGCGCAAGCCUGAUGCAGCCAUGCCGCGUGUAUGAAGAAGGCCUUCGGGUUGUAAAGUACUUUCAGUGGGGAGGCGUUACCGGCAGAAGAAGCACCGGCUAACUCCGUGCCAGCCGCCGCGGUAAUUC